rfam:Gorilla gorilla gorilla genomic chromosome, chr7, whole genome shotgun sequence
GAGCGUAUAGCUCAGGGGUAGAGCAUUUGACUGCAGAUCAAGAGAUCCCCGGUUCAAAUCUGGGUGCCCCCU